CCCCGGCGGGCUGCCAUCCCCAGGGCCUCCUCCCCAAGAUCCAGCCCGCUGUCCGGAAGCACAGCCCGUGGGGGGCAAGUGAAGGGAGGGUGGUGGCCCGGGAGGGCGUGCAGUCCCCAUGUUCCUGGCUGUGGAACCCCACCAGCCCUCGUGGCUGCCAGCCCAUGCGAGCUAAGGCAGAGCGAGGCAGCGGUCCUGGGGUUCGCGGCCAGCCCUGUGUGGCGGGGUCUGCCGGGGAAGGUGGCUAAGGGUGGCCGUCUACCCUGUGGCCCCGCUGGCCCUGCCCUGGCAGGGGUCUGUGCACCCACUCCAUCCCUGACCCAGGGGCCACUUCUCGCCCCUGGGCUUCACACUCUGGCCAUCGACUCCCCGUGUGCGAGAACAUUCUUGUUGCAGAAAGGUGCCUCCCGUGUAUCAAUAAGCCGCUCUAGAAAGGCUCUGUCUUCUGUCUCUCCGCGGGCUGCUCAGAACAGACCUGUCCAUGCCUGCUUUGCGGGCGUCAGGAAGUGCAUCGGAGGAGAUCUAGGGCAGAAGGUGAAGCUUUUCUCGUCCUUUCCAGAAGAGCCCCCCGUGGCCCUCAUGCCUCCUUCUAGGGUCUCUGAGCCCACCGACCGCACCUGCUUGGUAUGACUCCGCACCCACCCUUGCCGCACUUGGAGUUGGCUGUGAUCUCUGGCCCCUCUGCAACCUUCCCAGUGGUUCCCUGAAUGCUGUCUUCCCUCUGUAACAAGCGUGAUCAGUGCCGCUCAGCCCUGCGGGUCCAGGCGGUCCUCUCCCAGCCUGGGAAGCAACUGUGCGGUCUUCCCGCCUCGGAAGCGUGCAGAUCCGGGAGCAGACUCCUCGCCGUUCUCGGCGCUGUCCCUGCCGCCCCCCCCUGCCCUUCUGCAGGUGCGUGGGGACGGCCGUCGUCUACGCGGCUCUGGCUUUAUGUUAUCUCUGCGUGUUUCGUACACGUGUGCCCGCUCGCUGAGGCCAUGGUCAUCUACAAAGUUGCCUCACUCGCUCACCGAACAGGGAGUGAGACCCCCA